UGCAAUCAAUGAUGAAGAUCUCUGUAAUAUCUACUGAGGUAUCUGUGAUUAUAUCAAAUUAUCACCAUCUUUCGGCUGAGAUUGCA